rnacentral:rRNA from 1 species
UACGUAGGGCGCGAGCGUUGUCCGGAAUUAUUGGGCGUAAAGAGCUCGUAGGCGGCCGGUUGCGUCUGCUGUGAAAUCCCGGGGCUUAACCCCGGGCGUGCAGUGGAUACGGGCCGGCUGGAGGCAGGCAGGGGAGAAUGGAAUUCCCGGUGUAGCGGUGAAAUGCGUAGAUAUCAGGAGGAACACCGGUGGCGAAGGCGGCUACCUGGACAGAAACUGACGCUGAGGCACGAAAGCUAGGGGAGCAAACAGG